rnacentral:rRNA from 1 species
AUUGAACGCUGGCGGAAUGCUUUACACAUGCAAGUCGAGCGGCAGCACGGGGGCAACCCUGGUGGCGAGCGGCGAACGGGUGAGUAAUACAUCGGAACAUGCCCAGUCGUGGGGGAUAACACUUCGAAAGAAGUGCUAAUACCGCAUACGUCCUGAGGGGGAAAGCGGGGGAUCGCAAGACCUCGCGCGAUUGGAGUGGCCGAUGUCAGAUUAGCUAGUUGGUGGGGUAAAGGCCUACCAAGGCAACGAUCUGUAGCUGGUCUGAGAGGAUGAUCAGCCACACUGGGACUGAGACACGGCCCAGACUCCUACGGGAGGCAGCAGUGGGGAAUUUUGGACAAUGGGGGCAACCCUGAUCCAGCCAUUCCGCGUGAGUGAGGAAGGCCUUCGGGUUGUAAAGCUCUUUCGGCAGGAACGAAACGGUGAGCUCUAACAUAGCUUGCUAAUGACGGUACCUGAAGAAGAAGCACCGGCUAACUACGUG